GAAAUGCGAUAAGUAAUGUGAAUUGCAGAAUUCAGUGAAUCAUCGAAUCUUUGAACGCACAUUGCGCCCCCUGGUAUUCCGGGGGGCAUGCCUGUCCGAGCGUCAUUACUGCCCUCAAGCGCGGCUUGUGUGUUGGGCGUUCGCCCCCCGUGGGGGCGUGCCCGAAAGGCAGUGGCGGCGCCGUGCCCGGUCCUCGAGCGUAUGGGGCUCUGUCACCCGCUCUGGAGGCCUGGCCGGCUGCCGUCGACCCCUCAGACCUUAUUACCGGUUGACCUCGGAUCAGGCAGGGAUACCCGCUGAACUUAA
rnacentral:misc_RNA from 1 species